AUACGUAGGGAGCGAGCGUUGUCCGGAAUUACUGGGUGUAAAGGGAGCGUAGGCGGGAGUGCAAGUCAGAUGUGAAAUACAUGGGCUCAACCCAUGGGCUGCAUUUGAAACUGCAUUUCUUGCGUGAAGUAGAGGUAAGCGGAAUUCCUGGUGUAGCGGUGAAAUGCGUAGAUAUCAGGAGGAACACCGGUGGCGAAGGCGGCUUACUGGGCUUUUACUGACGCUGAGGCUCGAAAGCGUGGGGAGCAAACAGGAUUAGAUACCCUGGUAGUCCACGCUGUAAACGAUGAUUACUAGGUGUGGGGGGACUGACCCCUUCCGUGCCGCAGUUAACACAAUAAGUAAUCCACCUGGGGAGUACGGCCGCAAGGUUGAAACUCAAAUGAAUUGACGGGG
rnacentral:rRNA from 1 species